GAGAAAAUGCUUACUACUACUAGACUUGGUACUCACUAGCGAAAAAAUGAUCCCACCCUAAGGUUCAAAAUGGGCCUUUUGAAAUACCCUGGGGUGUCUUCUUUAAAAAAUGGUAGGCCUUUGUGGGGAAAGUUUGAAUAAGCAACCUGCUAUUAGAACCCAAAAUGAGUCAUAAACCUAUAAAAUUCUGUAAAAACUGAAAUGGUCAGGUCUCCUAUAUGGAAGUGUAGCAUCAGGAAAUACGACUAAAGGCAUACAUUGGGGGUAUCGUUUUUCUC